rnacentral:rRNA from 1 species
GCGGUGGAGCAUGUGGUUUAAUUCGAAGCAACGCGAAGAACCUUACCAGGUCUUGACAUCCCCUGACAACCCGAGAGAUCGGGCGUUCCCCUUCGGGGGACAGGGUGACAGGUGGUGCAUGGUUGUCGUCAGCUCGUGUCGUGAGAUGUUGGGUUAAGUCCCGCAACGAGCGCAACCCUCGCCUCUAGUUGCCAGCAUUCGGUUGGGCACUCUAGAGGGACUGCCGGCGACAAGUCGGAGGAAGGUGGGGAUGACGUCAAAUCAUCAUGCCCCUUAUGACCUGGGCUACACACGUGCUACAAUGGGCGGUACAAAGGGCUGCGAACCCGCGAGGGGGAGCGAAUCCCAAAAAGCCGCUCUCAGUUCGGAUUGCAGGCUGCAACUCGCCUGCAUGAAGCCGGAAUCGCUAGUAAUCGCGGAUCAGCAUGCCGCGGUGAAUACGUUCCCGGGCCUU